rnacentral:pre_miRNA from 1 species
UUUCUACUCCCUCCGUCUGAAAAAGCUUGUCCCAAACUUGUCCCUUAAAUGGAUGUAUCUAGCACUAACUUGAUGCUAGAUACAUCCAUUUGAGGGACAAGUUUUUUCGGACGGAGGGAGUAUUAG